GACGAGCUCUCCAAACGUUAGGCGGAAUCACUGGGCUUAAAGCGCGUGUAGGCGGGUCGUUAAGUGUCCGAGUGAAAUCCCACGGCUCAACCGUGGAACUGCCGGGCAUACUGGCGAUCUUGAGGCAUUCAGGGGCGAGCGGAACAAAUGGUGGAGCGGUGAAAUGCGUAGAUAUCAUUUGGAACGCCAAUGGUGAAAACAGCUCGCUGGGAAUGAUCUGACGCUGAGACGCGAAAGCCAGGGGAGCGAACGGG
rnacentral:rRNA from 1 species